rnacentral:rRNA from 1 species
GCGACAGAACGUUAAAUGCGACAGUUCCCAAUGGAUCACUGAGUUAAGCAACGUUGCGCGUGGCUGGUAUCCAGAUGGGUGACCACCAGGUCAAUCAAGUGC